UUGGUUAGAGCGCAGGAUUCAUAACCCUGAGGUCACGGGUUCAACUCCCGUCCU
rnacentral:tRNA from 1 species